CCUACGGGGGGCAGCAGUGGGGAAUAUUGGACAAUGGGGGCAACCCUGAUCCAGCCAUGCCGCGUGUGUGAAGAAGGCCCUCGGGUUGUAAAGCACUUUCAGUGAGGAAGAACGCCUGGUGGUUAAUACCCAUCAGGAAAGACAUCACUCACAGAAGAAGCACCGGCUAACUCCGUGCCAGCAGCCGCGGUAAUACGGAGGGUGCGAGCGUUAAUCGGAAUUACUGGGCGUAAAGCGCGCGUAGGUGGCUUGAUAAGCCGGUUGUGAAAGCCCCGGGCUCAACCUGGGAACGGCAUCCGGAACUGUCAAGCUAGAGUGAAGGAGAGGAAGGUAGAAUUCCCGGUGUAGCGGUGAAAUGCGUAGAGAUCGGGAGGAAUACCAGUGGCGAAGGCGGCCUUCUGGACUGACACUGACACUGAGGUGCGAAAGCGUGGGUAGCAAACAGGAUUAGAUACCCGUGUAGUC
rnacentral:rRNA from 1 species